UUGGCAGAGUACAAUAGAGUUCCUAUGGGACUCAUUCCCGGCGAAACGUCACCUUAGCCCGGGAUGCGCUCGCGCGAAGACUGCGGCAGCGGAGAAGAAGCGGCGGUCCGCUUAAGGAAAAAGCCACAAACUGGCUGGAGAGGUUCUCUAGGUUCCCUUUUUCCUACCUACUAUCCCUUCUGGAGCUCCAAGAGAAAUAAAGGGGAUGGAACUCGUGUUGCACAAAUCCCUGACCCAAGUUAAGAGACGCGGAGAAACAAGCACAUGGAACUAAUUAGACAACUAGAAGUCACUAUCGGCGACCCGCAAAUGGUUUCAGUGGCGUGAGUGGCCAGAAAUCGCGGCAACUGAUGGCGACGGCAAGCCCGAGGAAAGUAGGGACCGUCGGAGCCACGGCCACGUCGUUUUGGAGAAGGGGCAGAGCCAAUCAACGUCCCAAAUAUGGGUACGAAAACCUGCCGGUUCCGGACGGCGCUUAACGGAACGGACUCACCGGAUUCCUGUUUAGCUUGAUAGAUGGCUCCGUCAACGGCUGCUAAGAGGCUCGUUUGAAAAUUUCCCUCACUCUUCUCCAGAAUAUAUCCUCCCCAGAACGUCGGCGGCGGGUAAGAUUCAACAUAUAAUUCCACAAUUUUUCAAUAAAGAUGGCCGUGGCCAGCGAUUCAUUCACUGCCACGGUUCUACAGGUUUUUCCUAGCCGCCCAGGAGAUUAGCUGCUUUUACAUCGACUUUUCGUUGCUACUGCCGGCUUCCAUGUUGCCUAUCCCUCCCUAUAUAGGCUUCGGCCUGUCACCCGAGUUCGGACCUAGGAACCGUUCUUUCUUCAGUGCAACGGCCGAGGCCAAGGGUAAAAACCCUUUCUCUUAAUUCCCUUAACCUAAGCCCGUUACCUAUUCCCGGUUCGCUCUUUCAAAUCCCU